rnacentral:rRNA from 1 species
GACGAACGCUGGCGGCGUGCUUAACACAUGCAAGUCGAACGGAAAGGCCCCUUUGGGGGUACUCGAGUGGCGAACGGGUGAGUAACACGUGAGUAACCUGCCCUUGACUUCGGGAUAACUUCAGGAAACUGGGGCUAAUACCGGAUAGGAAUCCUUGCUGCAUGGUGGGGGUUGGAAAGCUUCGGCGGUUUUGGAUGGACUCGCGGCUUAUCAGCUUGUUGGUGGGGUAGUGGCUUACCAAGGCUUUGACGGGUAGCCGGCCUGAGAGGGCGACCGGCCACAUUGGGACUGAGAUACGGCCCAGACUCCUACGGGAGGCAGCAGUGGGGAAGAUUGCACAAUGGGCGGAAGCCUGAUGCAGCAACGCCGCGGGCGGGAUGACGGCCUUCGGGUUGGAAACCGCGUUCAGCAGGGGCGAAGCUUGUGGUGACGGUACCUGCAGAAGAAGCACCGGCUAACUACGUG